CACCGUACAAAUGAUCAAAAUAGUAGCAAAGAUCAUUUAUCUAAAAAAUCAUCUUAUAAUUGGAUGCUGUUUAGCCUUUUAAUCAUUCAUUUUUCAUUUAACAAUCCAAAUCAUCCCGUACAAAAUCGACCAUAAUAAUAAUAUUUGAUUAAAAUAAAUUUUUUAUAGUGUACUAUAAAUACCACUUAGAUUAUCAUUGUUAGUUUUCAAAUCUAUCGAUGG
rnacentral:lncRNA from 1 species